GUAGGUGGCAAGCGUUGUCCGGAAUUAUUGGGCGUAAAGCGCGCGCAGGCGGUUCUUUAAGUCUGAUGUGAAAGCCCACGGCUCAACCGUGGAGGGUCAUUGGAAACUGGAGAACUUGAGUACAGAAGAGGAAAGCGGAAUUCCACGUGUAGCGGUGAAAUGCGUAGAGAUGUGGAGGAACACCAGUGGCGAAGGCGGCUUUCUGGUCUGUAACUGACGCUGAGGCGCGAAAGCGUGGGGAGCAAACAGGACUAGAUACCCUGGUAGUCCACGCCGUAAACGAUGAGUGCUAAGUGUUAGGGGGGUUUCCGCCCCCCUUAGUGCUGCAGCUAACGCAUUAAGCACUCCGCCUGGGAGUACGGCCGCAAGGCUG
rnacentral:rRNA from 1 species